rnacentral:rRNA from 1 species
GUUUGAUCAUGGCUCAGAACGAACGCUGGCGGCAGGCUUAACACAUGCAAGUCGAACGGUUGUAGCAAUACAGCAGUGGCAGACGGGUGAGUAACACGUGGGAACCUUCCUAGGGGUACGGAACAACUCAGGGAAACUUGAGCUAAUACCGUAUACGUCCGUGAGGAGAAAGAUUUAUCGCCCCUAGACGGGCCCGCGUAGGAUUAGGUAGUUGGUGAGGUAACGGCUCACCAAGCCUACGAUCCUUAGCUGAUCUGAGAGGAUGAUCAGCCACACUGGGACUGAGACACGGCCCAGACUCCUACGGGAGGCAGCAGUGGGGAAUCUUGGACAAUGGGCGCAAGCCUGAUCCAGCCAUGCCGCGUGAGUGAAGAAGGCCUUCGGGUUGUAAAGCUCUUUUACCAGGGACGAUAAUGACGGUACCUGGAGAAUAAGCCCCGGCAAACUUCGUGCCAGCAGCCGCGGUAAUACGAAGGGGGCUAGCGUUGUUCGGAAUUACUGGGCGUAAAGCGCACGUAGGCGGAUUGUUAAGUCAGAGGUGAAAUCCCGGAGCUCAACUUCGGAACUGCCUUUGAUACUGG